rnacentral:tRNA from 1 species
AGAGGUACAGCUUAGUGGCAGAGCACAUGCUUAGCAUGCAGGAGGCCCUGGGUUCAAUCCCCAGUACCUCCA